GGCAAGAUUGGGUAACCGUACAGCAUAAUCCAAGGCACAUUUUGGAACCUUUUUUGUGGAAGUUAUUAGAUUCAGUUUAUUGACAAAAACUUCGGCCCAUCAUUCUGUAUCUUUUAUCUUCAAAUCAACAGUAACCCUUCUCUCAUAUUCUAUACAUGCUUAUCAAUUGAUGAGUAUGUUUUGUCGAACUCAACCCGGCAAAUGAAUUUUAAGCAUAUGAGUUCUCCUUUCCUCAAUUCGCAAAUAAAAAUACUAAGUUGGGGUUUCACGAUUAGGUUAGGGUUUGGCUUUAAUGUUUGUGCAUAGAUUUAUCGUUGGGUUCCGGCAAUUGAAAGGAGAAAACUGAAUCUGCCAUUGUAGUUGAUUUCCCAAAAUCCAAUUCAGGUAGGAUAGUUUCCAUGGCAGAACAAGCAUUCAAAAGGUAAGAUUUGAGAUCAAUAGAUAUAUUGAUCUUUGUUUUGUUUAUUCUGAAAAUUUUAUGCUUCUCUUUCAAACAUUUGAUUGAAUUGGAGAAUUGAUGCAGCGACACUACAUUGGUGUCAUUACUAUAUUGUAGAUCUAUAGUAUUAUUGUCCUUGCGGGGAAAAAUGCCAGUAUAAUUUGCUACGAAGGAAAAUGCUUUUCACUACAAUUUUCUUGCGGGGAAAAAUAUUUUAGAUUUUUUGGGUGUAAAAGUAGGCCAUACUUUUCCAGUAUAAAAAAGUUGUCAAUCACGUCAAAUGUUGUAUUGAUAAAGAGUUGGGAUAAACAUAAAAAACUUUCUAUUAUUUGGAUUGAAGAUUUCUGUGUUAGAGAAUUGGCAAUGGCUUUUAUAUCUUCAAGUACAAUUCAUGGCUCUCUUUCUUCAUCUUUUUAUGAAAAAUAACCCAAAGGUACCCAUAACCUUUUUCUCUCAAACUAUUAACUUUUACACUUAAAUGUGUAACUUUUAUGAAGAUUAGACAAUUUUAUCAUCUGGGUUCGUCUUUCUUUCCCUUUUUGGUUUUGUUUUGGUUCUCAAAGUUUCAGUCUUUGCAAUUAAAAGUGUAAAUGUGAUGAACAUCAAGAAUUUUAUCAUUUGAGGUUUUUCUUUGUGCUUUUUUUUUUCUCUAGGAUCUCAUUUGUCGAUUUUUUACAUUGUCACUCAGCAAAUGUAUCGGCCUCAAACUUCUUUGAAAGCAUUGAAUUUUACUCUGACGUGUUGGCUAUGAAGUCAUUAGUUCCAUUAGAAGCAACUACCAGUAAGCUAUUAGCCUUACCGAUAUCUGGCCUUUUCAAUUUUUUACUAGCCACCCAUUUUCUAAUACAUGUAAAUAGGCUAAUAGUUAUGGGCUAUAGCGUCUCACUGUAAUUAUAUCUUCCUUAGAGUUUGUUUGUAGGAUUCACGUUUAAAGAAUUGUACUAACUGUUCAUGUAAAAUAGUGACGAUUAUAGCUUUCUUGGUCUGAUAAUUAAGAUCUCUAAUUUGGUUUUAUAGUUCAGUUGUAAAUAUUGGUUCCUGCUGAAAAGGUUGUUUAUUGAUCUACGUCGAUUCCCGCCAUCAAUGUUAGCAACAAUUGCAAUCUUUACUGUGCAAUGCAUGCUCUGUGUGUCUAAGGAGUGGAAGAAAACCCACUUUUGUAGCUUUUACUGUUGUUGGAGUAUACAAACAAGAUAUAGUAAUCAAGAUGGCAAAAGCACUGCAAAGUUAUGGCAUGUAGAGAACAGUAGUUAUUCAUUCUGAAGGUUUACAUUAAAUGAGUCCUCUUGGCAAGAUUUUCUUUUUUUUCCUUAUUGUAUUGUAUAUAUAAACUUGCACUUGGCUUUAUCAAUCAUACAAUGUGAAUUGACAGGACCUGGAGCAGUCCUUAUGUUACACCUGAAAAUAUUAAAAAAUUCUCUUCUAACCCAUGUAAGAAUCUUUUUUCUCUUCUUCUAGCACAACGUUUGGUGGCCCAUUUGGACAAAUUUAAUUCAAAGUAUGUUCUACAAUUGGGUUGUUGUUGUUGUUGUUCUACAAUUGAACUGAGAUCAAUACAUAUAUUCUCUGUUUUGUUUAUUCUGAAAAUUAUAUUUUCAUCAAUAUUUGAAGAUUGUGGUUGCUAAAGUUUGCUUCUUUUUCAUUCAUUACUUACAUAGCCUGAAGCAGAACAAAUUUGAAAAUAUGAACAUUCUCAAGCACAUCUCAGUUGUUGUUGCCUUUUGACUCCAAAAGAAGAAAAUAAGAAGAAUAAUCUGGUUUCUCAUCAUAGAAUACAAUAACUAAUAUUUGUGUAUCAUUGCAAUUGAUUUUGGUAUAUCAAGCUGUACUAUACAGAACCUGCAAGGGGGAGUCAUAGUACAAUGUUGAGAUACUAAGGCGUAUGCUUUCGGUUGAAAGAAAAUGGGCCAAUUGAAAAUGUAUUGAACUUGAACUCUUGCUGAUCACAUCAAGCCUCUGCAUAAAUGCAAAUUUAGAUACUGAAUGUUGCAGCAGCACUAUUAGUCAGCGGGCAAGUUGUUAACUUAGUUGAAUGAGUAGCAAUGGCACGUACCACACAUCAUUCAAGGAAAGCUCUCAAUGCUCUUAAUCAUUGGAUUGAUGUUUUCAUUAUAAGUCAAAAUCAAGUACUCCUAUUUUUCAGUUCAACUAAAACAAGAAUUUGUUUGACAGCUUAAAAUUUACUGUGUGAUAGUUUUAUAACUCAUUAUUCUGAUACUAAAAUAUAGAGUGCAAAAGAAUCAGUAAAGAUGCUCCGCUAGAGUAUGUAAGGAUAAGAUUAUUGAGCUACUCUCAAAAUUUAUGCUUUGGUAAUUUGUUGGAUCAUUUGGAAGCAUAAAGGUGAGGUACCGUAUGGUGACUCCAAGAAGUUCUCUCUGUUCAAAAUUGAGAAAGAUAUUAGUUGAAUGAUCAAUACCACCUUGGCUGUUACUCCCUAGCUGCAAUCUCAAUAUGCAUUGGACUCGAUUUUGUGAAUAUGUUGAAAUGCUAAGGCAAAAUAUCAUUAACAGUUAUAUUACUUAGGAUAGACUUGCUUCAUAAAAAUGAAAACUUGAUAGCGAUGAAAGUUUUAUAAAGAGACUGGCAAGAGCGGCAUAGGUGAAAUUCUGCGUAAUGAUAAUGGGGCUAUCAUCUUCGCUUACACUUGCCCUGCUAAUGGUAAUGGAAUCAUGGCUACAGAAUCGAAGGCUUUACAAUAGGGUGUCAACUGGUGCGUCGACAGUCGACAAUAGUUCCAGAAAUUUCAAAGGGGAAAUUGUCUCUCCUACAAUUAAAAAUAUGGUAGUGGGUGUUUCUCCUACCAACUAUAAGAUACUCAAGAUGAUUAGCUACUCAAUUCUAUGGAAGGAUCUCAUGUCUCUGUUGUGUAAUCAAAGAGCUAACCAAAUAUUUUGCAUAUUUAUCUUAAGUUUUUGCAGUUA